CGCGGGGUGGAGCAGUUCGGUAGCUCACUGGGCUCAUAACCCAGAGGUCGCAGGUUCAAAUCCUGUCCCCGAUA
rfam:Saccharothrix sp. ST-888 contig-122, whole genome shotgun sequence.